rnacentral:rRNA from 1 species
AAUCUAGCGCAAUGGUCGAAAGCCUGACCCAGACCUGCCGCGUGAAUGAGGAAGGACAAAGGAUCGUAAAAUUCUUUCACCGGGGACGAUAAUGACGGUACCCGGAGAAGAAGCACCCGCUACCUCCGUGCCAGCAGCCGCGGUAAUACGAAGGGGGCUAGCGUUGCUCGGAAUUACUGGGCGUAAAGGGCGCGUAGGCGGAUCGUUAAGUCAGAGGGGAAAUCCCAGGGCUCAACCCUGGAACUGCCUUUGAUACUGGCGAUCUUGAGUAUGAGAGAGGUAUGUGGAACUCCGAGUGUAGAGGUGAAAGUCGUAGAUAUUCGGAAGAACACCAGUGGCGAAGGCGACAUACUGGCUCAUUACUGACGCUGAGGCGCGAAAGCGUGGGGAGCAAACA